rnacentral:rRNA from 1 species
GAUGAACGCUAGCGGCAGGCUUAAUACAUGCAAGUCGAGGAGUAGCAAGAUUGUAGCAAUACAAUUGUUGACGACCGGCAAACGGGUGCGGAACACGUACACAACCUUCCUACAAGUGGGGAAUAGCCCAGAGAAAUUUGGAUUAAUACCCCGUAACAUAGCGAUGUGGCAUCACAUUGCUAUUAUAGCUUCGGCGCUUGUUGAUGGGUGUGCGGCUGAUUAGAUGGUUGGCGGGGUAACGGCCCACCAAGUCUACGAUCAGUAGCUGAUGUGAGAGCAUGAUCAGCCACACGGGCACUGAGACACGGGCCCGACUCCGACGGGAGGCAGCAGUAAGGAAUAUUGGACAAUGGACGCAAGUCUGAUCCAGCCAUGCCGCGUGAAGGAUUAAGGUCCUCUGGAUUGUAAACUUCUUUUAUAAGGGACGAAAAAAGGUCUUUCUAGAUCGUCUGACGGUACCUUAUGAAUAAGCACCGGCUAACUCCGUGCCAGCAGCCGCCGUAACAC